UAGGGAAUCUUCCGCAAUGGGCGAAAGCCUGACGGAGCAACGCCGCGUGAGUGAUGAAGGUCUUCGGAUCGUAAAACUCUGUUAUUAGGGAAGAAUAAAUGUGUAAGUAACUAUGCACGUCUUGACGGUACCUAAUCAGAAAGCCACGGCUAACUACGUGCCAGCAGCCGCGGUAAUACGUAGGUGGCAAGCGUUAUCCGGAAUUAUUGGGCGUAAAGCGCGCGUAGGCGGUUUUUUAAGUCUGAUGUGAAAGCCCACGGCUUAACCGUGGAGGGUCAUUGGAAACUGGAAAACUUGAGUGCAGAAGAGGAAAGUGGAAUUCCAUGUGUAGCGGUGAAAUGCGCAGAGAUAUGGAGGAACACCAGUGGCGAAGGCGACUUUCUGGUCUGUAACUGACGCUGAUGUGCGAAAGCGUGGGGAUCAAACAGG
rnacentral:rRNA from 1 species